GCUUGUCACCUCGUACACCUCUCACCCAUACGUCAUAGUCUAUAUCACCUCUCAACUCAUCGUCCAACUCAUAUUUCUGUUGGAUUAAUGUCUAAGUCCAUAACUAUAAUUGGUAAGACUUGACCCGACCCGGCAUGGUCCAUUUGGGUUGCAUGGCAUCAUGCACUUGGAUAGACUAAAAUGAGAGAAAUAACACUGAAGGUUUAUUAAUAUAUUAUAAGUUCUAAUAUAUUAAUAAGAUUAUUUAAUUAGUAUUGAUCAAUAAUUAAUUUAGAAUUAAUCAUGUGAUCAAAAGAAGACUAAUUAAAUAUAUGGGUUGAUUGUGUAAAUCAUCCAUACUUAUAUAGUGGGCUAAUGCUCCAUUGAUUAUCAAGUUGGGCUCAAACCCAUUGGAUGUUCCAUGGUAUUUAAACCCNCCCAUGGAUCCAUGGAAAUGGAUAGCCAUGACAAUUAGGGUUUACCCUAAUUGUAACACACUAUAUAAUGAUCUCUUUCUUGGGAAAAUUGGCGACUAUGAUAUGCAUGGAGGGCAAGCCGAUUCUUGAAGUGUUCUAAUUUCUCUCUAAGUUAUUCCAAGUGCUUAUGGUGUUGUGUGAACCAUUUGAGGUGUCACACUUGGGGCACUAGGCACUCAAGCUUCAUGAAGACAAGCACCAACAAAAGGUAUGUUAUUCUAACUUGUGUUAUUCAAAGUUUUGUAUGCUAGAAUAGAACAAUACCUUGGAAAGUUGAUAUUUGCAUGUAUAAUAGAGAAAACAUAGAUCCAAGGUAUUUAGGGUUGCAUGUACACUUAGGAGUGUUAGAUUGCUCAAAACCCAACAGUGGUAUCAGAGCCUAGGCUUGUUUUCUUGUUGUACUUGCUUAAACUGCUUAAAAAUCGACUUUUGGUGCUGUCUGCCCAGCAGACCCGCCGAGUCAAUGAAGGGACUCGACGAGUCCAAGGCAAAAUGCAUCCAACUCGCCGAGUUUGUUCAUGCACUCGACGAGUUAGACCCCCAAACAACAUAUGUUCGACUUUCGGUGCUGGAAUUGGUCUAGAAUCAUUACCUUUGACUGUUUUGGGCUUAUAAAACUUGUGUUGAAUGUGGUAAUGAUUAUGUUAAACCGAUUUCAAUGCUAUAAUAAAAGUUUCAAGUUUAUAUGUGUUCAUGUUAUUCUUGAAAAUUGUUGAUUAUGAAUGAUCAUGCUUAUGAGUUUUGCUAGAUCAUAGGAAUUGUGUGCAAAUUGUUUGUUGAUAUAAUUCAUGAUCUUGUUGAAAAUUGUAUGGAGUUCAUAACUUGUCCUCAAGUUAUGAAUUUUCAAGAAUUUUAUGUUUCCUUGAUUUAUGAGUUAGUUUAGGUUGAUAAUGAAAAAAUAAUGUUUUAGUUGUUUUCAAUUCAUAUUAGUCUAAAAGAAGUUCAUAAAAUAUGUUUUUGUAACUUGUCUUCAAGUUAUGUGAAAAUUCAUAUUUAUGAAUCUUAAAAACUCAUAAAAGUUUUGUAGGUUACAUAAAAUGUAAGAGUUUUUUCCAUUAAAUAGUUUAAUGACUCCAUAACUUGUCCUCAAGUUAUGGAUGUUGAAGAGACACUUCUUUAAAGUGUUUUUAAAGAAUAAGGGGUUACAUUAAAAUGAAGAGUCUUCAUUUUAAUGAACCAUUAAACUCAUAAGUUAUGAUUUAAAGAGUCUUGAAAUAGUUUCAAAACUUGCCCUCAAGUUUUGGAAUUUGAAAAGUUACUCCUCAUGUAUACUUUAUUUCCAAAUUGAACAUUGAAAUUUUAAAAGGUUUAAAAUUCAACCCUUAUACUAUUAUUAUAAUUUUAAUUAUAUAGAUAUGUAUAAGAGGAAGUCAAUCUUACCGUUAGUAGGCCUCAUUCACGAAGCCGGUCUAUAAGGGGGGUAUAAGGUUACUGCCUAUAAAAUGGCAGUUUAAUGGGUGUCCACUCUCACCCACCGCUUCCUUGACUGGUGGAGGGUCGUUAGCCGAACGGGUAGGAAUGGACUAUAAUUCUCCCUUCAUUAAAAGUAUAAUGAAAAAUACUAAGUAACUAAACACUUAUAAAUUCCCAAUCUUAGUUACUUAGGAAAAUGUGAAAAGGUGCUAGCCCAUAAAAUUACACUUUGUACCUUACCAAGUCGUUAGUGGAGCGUGUGUGGUUAACCGGCACACUAACAUGGACUAGUAAGAGUGGCAAAGGGUAACUUGACUUUAUUAUAGAUCGGUGGAGCGUGUGUGGUUAACCGGCACAUCGAUUAGGUAAUAUUGUUAAGGGUACCAAGUCAAUUUGUAUGGUUAUUCACACCUUGUUUGUGAUCCUCGGCAUCCCAGUCACAAAUUUGAGAGGGCACAAUCGAGAUUCAAACAUGCCAUUGAAAAGUUCAAUGUAUCUCAAAAGAUCUAGGAGUUUCAAAACCAAUAAAACCUAAUAAUAAAAUAUUUCGUUUUCAUGGUGGAAAUUGGUAAAUCGUCAUUUACCUACCUUCAACUAUUUUAUAAUUUGGAUUACGGCAUCCCUCUUCCAGUUAUAAAUAGGUUGUUGGGUCCUAGCCUUAAUAUUUCAUAUUGGGUGUUAUAUUAAGGACUUUAAAUCAACUAACUUGAAUUUCUCCCAUUAUAGAUGUCUAGUUUAGACAGCUAUGGUCUUCCCAAAUCUUUAGGAACAAGCUUCCUAAUGAAGAUGAUAUCCCAAAUGGCAAUCAAGGUGAAAGAUCAAUCCCUUUGUUGGGCAUUUGUGGGACUAGAAAUCAUACUUCACUUCAUCCACCUCCUCCAAUAAAUCUCCCUAUCCCACAAGUUUUAAGACUUGAUAAGUUCUAAGUCACUCAAUCCCUAUUGGCAAGCAAAGUCUAUAUGUGCUUAGAUCUUGGGGAUUAAGCCACAUAUUGACAAGUCGGGAGAGUCGGGUGUCGAAGUCUCGAGGUAGCUGGCUGCUGACUUGGUUCUUCAGUCACUCCCUGAUGACAGGUCGCGACAAGACCCUUAAUGAUCUUACCUAUUUGCUUGAUGAUGCUAAAUCAGCAGUGAUUUGGAGCAUUAGUAAAGCAAAUUGGAUUGGAAGAUCUACUUUCCAAACCUAUUUGGACAUUGAAAAUGGUGACAUUGGAGGUCCAGGAAAAACUUUCUCUUCCCAAUGGAAAGGGAUCGGCCAUAGUCAACUCGGUUGACCAAAUGGUAAAGAGAAAGGUUAAGUCUGUGAUAGUCCCAUGUACCGUUUCCAAAGAGUCCAUAAGAUUCUGUUGCCAAAGGAAAGACAUUGGUUGCGAAGCUGCUAAAUUUACCUGAAACAUCUUAAGGAUGGUAAAGUCAAUAGGUUUGACUCUACUUCAGGUAAAGUCCAUUGUCUAACUCUAUUAAGUUUCUAUUCUGAGAUUCUUAUUGCAUAAUGUGACGAGGUCACAUGUUGAUGUUUUAAGAAUCAAAGAAAAGGUGAAGAAACUUAAAGGAAGUAUAUGCUGAUUCUGAUCGCGAAGAUGGAUUUCGAUCGCAUGGUUCGGUGAUCAGAAUUUUGAGUUGUUACUUAAGAGUUAUGAUAUAUUGCUUAGGAAUAGAUAACAACAAGUUUUCCAUAUGGAUUGUAAGGAUAAAUUUUUCCGCAAAGUUUUAAAAUAAAAGAAAAAUGGUUUUGAUUUUAUUUAUUUUAAGUAUCCUUACAAUGGCAUUUGUGAAAAAUUGUUGAUUAUAUGUUUCCAUUGAUAAGCAAUAUGGGUAAAUGGAUUUGAUUCUUUCAUUAGUGGAAGUGUCAUAAUUUACCAAAUAAGGAAAGAUUCUCAUCACCCAAGUUUCAGUUCGAUAGAAACUUGGAAUCAUGCAACUUGUAAUGUAUGAUCAUGAGAAUUUUUUUAUAUAUUUGGGAAAUUAAGUCUAAUUCCUUGUUCACAUGUAUAUGUGAAUCAAGUGAAGGACAAAGGGAUCGGAUACACUUGGGUGUGCGCUGAUCAGGUCCACCACAAAGUUGAUAAGAUUAUUCAUUAUGAUUUACUAAAGUUUAGUAAAUAUGGUUAUACUUACAAGUUUAAGUAUAGUUCUGGAUCAUUGGAGAAGUUUCAAUGAUACACAUAAUGAGUAAGAAGAAUCAAAUAUGGCAGAAAGAUAAAAGUUUCUCUAAUCUGAAGAUAUGGGAGAGUACUUGAGUAUCUUGUUUUAUGAUUAUCUUAGUGAUUAUGAAACCAUGUCACAAUUGAUCCUCUAAGGACACCUUAGCUCAUUUUGUUUGGCUAAGGAGAGGAAUCGUGAAUUGUUGAAAUGGUUAGAUCAAAAGAUAAAUUAUACUUCGUUCCAAAAUUAAAUCUUAGAGUCAUACUNUUCGUUCCAAAAUUAAAUCUUAGAGUCAUACUCCAAGAUUAAGCCUUCAGUGACACAAUCUUAGGAAAGGUUUAAAACACUUGUUAAAUGUAGAGUAAAAUGUGUUCUUACUCUUGUACAUUUGAAAUUGGUAAGUUGUGAUGUUUUGGAUAAAACAAAGACCAACUAAGACCAAUUUGAGAAGUGUUUAACUUGAUAAGAAUCUGCACUAACUCAUGAAUAUUCGUUUUUUUCAAGGAAUGGUUCUUGACAAAGAGAAUCUUACAUGUCAGGAGGUAAGUGGGAGUCUUAAAAGGAUCUUAAGAUAGAUUCAAGAACUAAUCAAGACUAUUGUUAAUCACUAGACCACGACUUGAGGUUUGUAACCUAUCGUGUUUACAUAUUAUGUGCCCAUUACAGUUAAAGUUGGUUUUGCAUUGGAGUUCUGAGAGUUCUCAACUAGUUGCAUAACAACUUGGAAGCAAUGGAGGGCCCUUGUGCUACCAGGUGGCAAGAAAUUAAGACUACACAAGUUCAGUCCAUAUGAAUUUGGAUUUGUCAUUAACCUUGUCGUGUGAUUAUGGUUAUGUCAAAUUCACAUGGAUAGGAACACAUACACCAUCAAAAUCUAAGUGUCAUAAGGUUUCUCUCCGAUUCAUGAAAAUGAUAGUGAGGAAACUCUUUCACUAAGUAGAUUUAAGUGGAUAGCAAGUGUGAAGUUUGCAUUCUCAUGUCGUUAGUGGAGCGUGUGUGGUUAACCGGCACACUAACUAAUGAGAAUGGCAAAGGUUUAGACUCACAUGUGAGCUAUCUAAGGAAAGGUUUAGACUCUAGGUGUAUGAUUUGAUAAAGUCUUAUCAAGGCUAUCUAGUAUCAGAAAUCUGACUGAUUUCUAGGUACAUGUCAAAGCUAGUGGGAGCAUAAAGUGUUAUGCUAGUGGGAGUAUGAUGAUUAUGUUGCAAGUUGGCAAUGUUAAUUAUAGAAAACAAAAGUUUCAACUCGCUUUGAAAAAGUUGUUUUACUAUAAUUAAGGGAUAGAAAUCUAUACUUCAUUCCAAUUCUACAAGCUUAGAUUGAGAUUUUAGUCAACUUUAGUCAAGAAUAUAUAUGAAUGUUAUGUUGGAAUGGUUCCACAUAAGGAAUUUUUAUAUAUGUUGAUUUCUCAAGAUUCGAUUAUGAUUACGGCAUCCCUCUUCAUAGUUCGAAUUAUGAGAACAUGGCAAAUAAAAAUUUUAUAGCAUGAAUCGUAUCCCAUAUGCUUCGGUUAUAGGAUCGAUUGGAUGUGUUACAGUAUUCAUCCAUUUUAAAUUUUCCUAAUGCUUAGGGCGUUAAGAUGGGAAAAUGGAUUAGAACUGGAUAUGACUAAGAUGAUUAAGCAAUUGUCGAGAACAAUUUGGGGUUUUCCAAAGUUUGGUUACUCAUGGACAAUUGGAAGUAUAGAGUAAGGAUCGUAUUGACAUAUUUUGGAAAGAGGCAACUCUUGUUCAAAAGUGAUGGUCAAGAUGGGAAUAUGGAAUUGUUUCCAUAGGUGGAAGUUAUUCUUUGAAUCUGUGUAAGAUUAAAGAACUUAAUGCAAAGAAGGAUGUUCAAAGGAAUGUGAUUUGAUUUUGAGACUUCAUCUCCAUGGAAUUGCUUUCCAUUGUAAUACUUUGUAAUGUUUGUUGCCAAGUCUUUGUGACUUGUGUGAAUAUCAUUACGAGAGGAUCAUUGCAUAGAUUACGGUAAAUGACAAGAAAUUGAAUUCUUACAUUUACAAUAAGGAUUGGGAUUGUGAAAUGAAAAUCAUUGAGGUCAUGUUCAAUUGAUAUACAUUUCACAAAGAGAUGACUAUAUGUAAACAUAGUGUGCAUACUUGGAGUAUGGCAUAGCUAUUGUUUAGAGAAACAUAGUAUGCAUGCUUGGAGCAUGGCAUCACUACUGUUUCAAUUCAAGUAUUAAGUUGAUUAAUCGAAACAUGAAUAAUGAGUGAUCAAUAUGGUGCUUAGAUAAAAGGUGUUUUAUUUACGCUCAAAGUGUUGAGGCCAUAUAGGACUAGUAUUAUUUUGUGUUUCACUUUGCAUGUUUUGACUUCCAGAAUAACUAGGUCAUUCUCCCGAAUGACCAAGUUAUUCAAACCAUCCACAGUCGGUCAUAUGUUGGAAGUAGACAUGAAUCAAGACUGUCAUGAAUUUGGCUUGUAUGAUUUGUCUAAUGUGCUUUAGACAAUGCAAUAGUUGCUACAAUAUUCGUGAGUACUCAUAAGGGCUGAGUAUUGGAUUCAACCCACGCUCAUUUGGAUUCACUUCAUGGAAUUUAUAACGAGUGAAUCAUGAGACGAUAAUAUCUUAUAUUGUUCAAACCUAGAGAUAUGAGUUGGUUAUACAUUGAUUGCACGUAAACGCAUUAGUAACUCGAUGUUAUAAAACGUGCCUUUGUGUAUGAUUCAAUAAAUAGUUAGUACAAGCAUAUGAGUCGAAGUUUAUCCAUUCCUUUUACCUUCGGGAUAAAAGCGAUAUCUGUGGGCCCCUCGAUGAUUUAGUGAUGACAAAAGUAAGUGCUCGGCCGGGCCUGGACUGAUUUGAUUUGUUCAAUUAGUCAGUCGUCAUAAAUCAGAAAUCGGGAAACAACAAAUGGACAGAGAGAAUGAUUAUAAUCCAUGUCUCAGUCCAUAUGAUAUCUAGAAUGGAGGAAUAUAUGAUCACUUAACUAAUGGACUAGUCAUUGACAGAGGUCAGAGUUCAUCGACAAGGUCAGAGAUCGACAGAAGCUUUUGAGAGCUACGAUUGCUAGUCGGGUUCUGAAGUCAUACUUGCAAUAAUAGUUUUAGACUUAUCCAAGUGGGAGACUGUUGGAUUAAUGUCUAAGUCCAUAACUAUAAUUGGUAAGACUUGACCCGACCCGGCAUGGUCCAUUUGGGUUGCAUGGCAUCAUGCACUUGGAUAGACUAAAAUGAGAGAAAUAACACUUAAGGUUUAUUAAUAUAUUAUAAGUUCUAAUAUAUUAAUAAGAUUAUUUAAUUAGUAUUGAUCAAUAAUUAAUUUAGAAUUAAUUAUGUGAUCAAAAGAAGACUAAUUAAAUAUAUGGGUUGAUUGUGUAAAUCAUCCAUACUUAUAUAGUGGGCUACUGCUCCAUGGAUUAUCAAGUUGGGCUCAAACCCAUUGGAUGCUCCAUGGUGUAUUUGAACCCAUGGAUCUGUGGAAAUGGAUAGCCAUGACAAUUAGGGUUUACCCCAAUUGUAACACACUAUAUAAUGAUCUCAUUCUUGGGAAAAUCGGCGACUAUGAUAUGCAUGGAGGGCAAGACGAUUCUUGAAGUGUUCUAAUUUCUCUCUAAGUUAUUCCAAGUGCUUAUGGUGUCGUGUGAACCAUUUGAGGUGUCACACUUGGGGCACUAGGCACACAAGCUUUAUGAAGACAAGCACCAACAAAAGGUAUGUUAUUCUAACUUGUGUUAUUCAAUGUUUUGUAUGCUAGAAUAGAACAAUACCUUUGAAAGUUGAUAUUUGCAUGUAUAAUAGAGAAAACAUAGAUCCAAGGUAUUCAGGGUUGCAUGUACACUUAGGAGUGUUAGAUUGCUCAAAACCAACAAUUUCAUCUAUUAUAUCUACCCAUGGUUUACCCCAACAUUUUUUUAGAUAUAAAAUACAUAUAUAGUUUAAAUCCUUUAAAACAUGUAUAAAAUCU
rnacentral:lncRNA from 1 species